GAACAGUUGGAAACGACUGCUAAUACCGCAUACGAUCUAAACUCGGCAUCGAGGAUAGAUGAAAGGUGGCCUCUACAUGUAAGCUAUCACUGAAGGAGGGGAUUGCGUCUGAUUAGCUAGUUGGAGGGGUAACGGCCCACCAAGGCGAUGAUCAGUAGCCGGUCUGAGAGGAUGAACGGCCACAUUGGGACUGAGACACGGCCCAGACUCCUACGGGAGGCAGCAUG
rnacentral:rRNA from 1 species